CGCGGUGUAUCCAAGUGGACGAAGGAGGCGGUCUCAUACGCCGCACGCCAGCCGUCGCAGGUUCGAAUCCUGCCAUCGCGU
rnacentral:tRNA from 4 species